GGUGGUUCAGUGGUAGAACGCUUGCCUUGCAUGCAUGAGGCCCUGAGCUCGAUUCCUCAGCACCA
rnacentral:tRNA from 1 species